rnacentral:lncRNA from 3 species
CCAUCUCCUUUUCGUUUGGUUGUUGACGUUCUGCGAUCGACCUUUUGCUUGAAUGAGAACUCCCUGGCUUUAGCUCUUCGGGCUUGUUUAGGUGGAUCUCCUAUUGAUUUCUAUCUUAGAUCUUUUAUUUGCCGCCAUUUCAUCUUCGUUUUUUCUUGUGGCGCAAUGGAGGUCCUAAUUGGUCUUAUGAGUUCAUGCGCUAGGAAAAAGAGCAAUCAGAUGAAUGGACUAUUGUCAAGAGAAAGAAAGGCAAAUCUCCUUCAAAUCAUUCAGUGA